rnacentral:rRNA from 1 species
CCCUUAGAUGUCCUGGGCCGCACGCGCGCUACACUGACAUGUUCAACAAGCCUCCUAGUUCGACAGGAUUUGGGAAAUCUUUGAACGCAUGUCGUGAUAGGGAUAGAUCAUUGCAAUUAUUGAUCUUGAACGAGGAAUUCCUAGUAAACGCGAGUCAUCAGCUCGCAUUGAUUACGUCCCUGCCCUUUGUACACACCGCCCGUCGCUCCUACCGAUUGAAUGAUCCGAUGAAUAUCAUGGAUUGAGGAUUAUAGCAGGUUCGCCUGUCUUGAUCUUCGAGAAGUGAAGUAAAUCUUAUCAUUUAGAGGAAGGAGAAGUCGUAACA